UUUAUUUUUUGGAGGGUCAUCGCUUUAAAUUAUUAUUAUUUUUUAUUUUUAUUUUUUAUUAUUUUUAUUUUUUGUUCCAGUUCACAACACUUAGAUCACAACCUAUGUACCCACAACCACCGAUUAGAUCCAAUCCGACGGCUACAAAAUAUCCCACCCGUACCAAAACCUAGUUGCAUGAUGUGCAUCAUCUCACAAGACUCUCUGUGACAGAACACCCUCUUAUCUUUCUCACUCCUUCUCACUGUUGACGCCGGCAAUGUCAUUGAUCUUGACGCCGUUGAAACCGCCGGAUCUGAUUUGCAAGGUAAUAUCUCCUCCUCUCACACUUUCUCUUUCUUUUCUGCUUUUUUUUUGAAUGUGUUGCUCUCACAGUCUCACUCUCUUCUCUUUCACAAGUUUCACUCACACCGGCUGUAGAUUGGAAACACUGUCAUAUCUACAAUUUCUCACCGCUCACUCUCUUCUCCCAUCACAUUCGUUGAACGGGUUUCUUUUGAUCUACCAUAAACCAAGUCGUUUCUUUUGAUUUGUUUCCUAAAAUUUGUGUUCAGGAUGAUGAGUUUAUUAAAAUUAGGGUUUUUAUUAUUAUUUUUUGGGUACAGAUCUACCAAGUCGUUUCUUUUGAUUUGUUUCCUAAAAUUUGUCUUCAAGAUGAUGAGUUUACUAAAAUUAGGGUUUUUAUUAUUAUUUUUUGGGUACAGAUCUACUAUAAACCAAGUCGUUUCUUUUGAUUUGUUUCCUAAAAUUUGUGUUCAAGAUGAUGAGUUUACUAGAAUUUGGGUUCAGCUCGUUUGCGGAGGCAUAAAUUGAGCUAAAAAAACUGCUGAGCCUUACAAACACUGUUACCAUAUGAUCGAGCCAAUUUCGAACAAGCCAAUCCAGUACUACUCAUUUAAAGCACUUUGAUAAAUCAUAUUUCACAUGAUAUGGCUGAAAUCUUUGAUUCUUGAUGGUCAUUAGGUUCGAGUUAUCUACAAUUACACUUGUAUAAAGAUUGAUUGGUCAAUCACUUGAAAUUAAAAAAAAAUGACCAGUCAAUAACAUAGAACUUUUUGACCUAAAUAUAAAGUUAGGUCUUUAGCCAAUGAACCAACAAUUUAAAUAUAGAGAGAAGAAGAAGAAGUUGAGUGAAAUCCAUUCACUUUGGUGGUCAAUAGGGUUAUAAUUGUGGCAAUUUCAAGGGAUAUAAUUGUGGCAAUUUCAAGGGUUAGACUUGCCUCCACAAUCAUCGGGUUUACUUCUUGCAAAGAAAGAAGCUAUUUGGCAUGAGUAGAGUCGGAAAAUAGUAGGUUGUUUUGUGCUUAUUUUUAUAUUUUAAGUUUAAUUUUUUAGAAAACAAAGUUGAGGUUCGUUUGAUAAAUUUAUAUAGCUCUUAAUAAAGACAGGACGGAAAGGGAUUGGCUGCAACUUUUUGAUUGUUUUAUAGGGUGGGUUGCAAAAGUUUAAUAUUAUAAGAAAUUUUUUCAAUUUACUCUACUUUUGGAUAUCUGUGAAAUAUUGACUCUAAACACGAAAAUGGACAAAGGAUAUGGACACGGUGAACAAUAAUAAUAAUAAUAAUAAUAAAGACAUGAUUUAGUUUAAGAAAUUAAAAAGUAAUAUUAUGUUUUGCUUUUGACAUAACUUUUGUUUUUGCUUUACGGGGAAGAAAAAGAGAAGAGGAGUUUUUAAUGACAAAGGAGUUUUUCUAUAUGUUUGGCAAAAUAUUUUUUAAAGCUCUUCUAUUAUUGAAAUAAUUAUUUUGCCCUUAAAUAGUAUUUUUAUUUUUAUUUUUUAUUUUUUAAGGCUGUUUGGUAAAGUGGUUAACCUAUUUUUACACUGACUUUUCCAAACACAUACAAAUAAAAAACAGCCUCAAAGUUGUAUUACAUUUUAAUUUUGUUUUUUCACUAUAAUAGUUCAUUGAAAAUCUAAAUGUAUGCGAGUGUAAAAGCAUUUCAUAUUUCAUAUAAGUAAACAAAAGCCUCAAAACUUUUUAUGCACAUUUUAUCAAAAUCAGUUCAUAAGAUGUUUUAUGUUUGAAUUGGUAUUAGACAAGGGACUAAAUUUUUUUAAAAAGUCAUAUACUACCACCAACUAACCCAAGUAAAACUUUGUAGCAGCAAAAUAUACCAUUUACAAACGCCCUGUUUGGUAACUAUUUAUUGUUUAUAUAAACAGAAGGCCCCGUUUGGUAACUAUUUAUGUUUACAAUUUAUUGUUUAUAUAAAUAGAUUUUGAAGAAAAACAUGUUAAUAUUUUUAUGUUUAUCGAUUAUAUAAUUUCACUUAUAUAAUUACUGUUC